rnacentral:lncRNA from 1 species
GGAAGGGACCUCGGCUUUCCUUAGGACUUCUCUUCUGCGGUCCUGCGGCUACUCUCCUGCGUCCUCCUGCCCGCCCCCAGUUGGACUGUGAAGCCAGUGAGAGCACAGGGGCCUGGCUGUCCUGCCCCAGCCUUCCUCGGGGUGUCCUGGCUCUGUCCCGUGAGCUGCGUGACACAGGCCCACCCACAAGUGGCAUGACAGGCCCAGAGCCACAGGCUGGACAGCUCCACUCCCCAGGACUCACGCCAUGGAUGUCACGAAGCUUCACUUAUAUCCACAGAAUAAAAUCCAGCCCGA